UUUUCCAAAAGGAAUAACAGUGACUUAGUCCUGAUUCUAUCAAGUGUAUUACCAUUGUCCCUAAUGGAAGUGAAGACAGUUUAGUUCCGAACUCUUUUGAAAAUCCUUCACUUUUUUAUUCUUGUUUUUAGUGGAACCCUUUAGCGGUAAAUCUUUGGCUGAGGUAACAGGGGAGGAUGCAAAGGCUACUGUCCCUCUGCCAGUCUCCAGGAAGUCUCCACAACAGGUCUCUCCUGAUUGAGCAAACUGGAUGCGUCUCUAUAUGCUGUGCAUAUAGAAAAGUGAUCUAACAGUGGGGGUAGCACUGCAAGCUUACCCCUCACCAUCCUGCCACUCACUAAAGGUCUCCAGCAUUGUUUUGGUUGGUUUGGUAGAAAGGAAAUGGUCACAUCUGCACAGCUGGGCCCCAUAGCAGAAAAAAAAAUCUGAAAAAUGUUGAAGCAAAUAAGGGGCUUGACCUGAGAGUUAAACUCUAGUAUUUCAGUUCUGUUUCCCACAAGUGACAAGAUUUUUUGAGAUUUAUCUACACUGAGUCAGAUACCAAAACCAGAACAGAGAUUAGGAAAUUACGGAGGUUGGGAUUUUUAAUUUGUAGACAAAAGACUAUCAUUAAAGAGCAAUUGUUUUUUCAUGAUUCAUCACAAGAAUGUCAGGAAACUAGAAGUUAAGGUAACCAUUUUAGUCCCCAUCUUGUAAUGCAUUCUCCUGGCACAAACCCCUGCAUUUGCAUGCUAUUGUUUUGUGUAGGAAGUGCAGAAAUUAGACCACUUAUAUAUGCAUCUAAACGCCAUGGCUGCUGAGUACUGUUCUGUUCUCAGUUAAACUGAUACAUAUUUAAGGAGAUUUAUUUAAGGGACGUUGUGUUGCUGAGCCCCCACUAAGCUACUUUGCUUCACAGGUGAAUAAACCAAGACAUGGAACAGCUAAAUGAUUUAUCCAGUGUCACACAGGUAGCCAAUAACAGUGAAUCAGGUACCUGAAUGGAAAUUGCUGGAAGUGCUCAGCUGCCUGGUGUAAAACCGUCCAUUUUUAGGUGGUCAAAUAUGAAUUUAGAGGAGCAAAUUUACACACCCAUUUUCACAAACCUCCACUGUGGUAGUGAAGCUAGUUUCCUGAUAGAACUACAAUAAAUAGAGGAAUUCUUUCUGUUAUAUUUCCUCUUGUAUCCUACGUGUUCAAUGAGUAGAAGGAACAAGAUACUUUUUACAAAUGGAUAGGCAUUACUUUUUGUACUGUGUAUAUAAAUGAAAGUGCAAAUUUUAUGUAACUUCAAAAAGGCCAAGUCAAAUAUUUCUAAAUUUGUUGGAAAAAUAUUAGACCCAUUUCCCUGUAAUGGGGUUUUGUCAAUCAACUUGUAAUGUUAUGAUUCUAUAAACCCUUUAGAACAGAAGAUUACUAUUUUAUAAUAAAACAGAAUGGGGAGUAGUUAUAGGACUUGCUAACAAAAUCAUAAGCCUAUCACUGCUCUGCUACAAUGAAGCACUGGAAUCCAUCAUUUUAAAUUGGAGUACCAUGCUUCAAAACUUGUAUCUAGCUGCAUAACACCACUAGGGAGAAAUAAAAUACAGAUUAGCUUUGCAAAGGAGAUUUAUUAGAAUGUGUGAGUGAAUCAUGUAAAAAAAAUAGGUUCCCAGAAGAUCUGAGGAACUUAGAUUGCCUGCUAAAUAUCUAGGAUUUUUCUUCUCUUUUUCUUAAUAAACUGGAAUACAUUAGUCAGUUCUUUAUUAAUCAAUUAUUAAUAUUCUGAAGUUAGUGGCACUAGCUGUAUCUAAGUCAGAGAUAAUAAAUCAAACUUAAUAAUGUGACAUGACUUUAAAAAACAAUCUCUAUGUCUCAGUAGUGUAAUCAGGGUGAGGUGAGCAGGUCACCAGCCCAAGGCACUGCCUAUAAGGGGGCACCAGAACCUCUCCCCACCAAGGACUUUUAGCACAGCAAGGGGAGUCCUGGGCAUAGAAGCAGGGCAGUGCACCCCUGCACCCAGCAGUGUAUCUGGGGAGCAACUGGGUUAAGUGGGAUGGUGUGCCCCCCAGUCAGGCAGACCUGCACCCAAUACAUCUGUAUCUGGGAUUGCAGGCAGGCAGUAUUCCAGCCUGCAAGGGAUCCUGCUUGGGGCUGCCAGGAGACACAGGGGAAGUGCCAGCCAUUUCCUGGUGUGAGGACUGAGCUGGGGCUGGGCUUGUCUUCUGCGCCUCUGUGGGCUGCAGGCAGGAGUGGGGCAGGUGGGCAGGUAGCAGCGGCACUGGGAGGGUUGCCUACAGGGAGGCUAAGGCACAUUUUGGGAUGGCUUUAGUCCCCCAAACCCUCCUUAGCACCACCCCUGUGCAUGUGCAUGGCCUUAAGUGGCCAGGAACACAGCCAGGCAGCCAGCUCCAUGCAGGUAAGGCUAA